rnacentral:lncRNA from 1 species
UGGAAUUAAUACUUCAGAAAGCAUAUAUAUAUAUAUAUAUAUAUAGAAAGAGAGAGAGACUGAGAGAGUUGAGCUGGAAUACUAUCGAUAGCAAACAGGUUUCGUUGCUAUACAUUUGCUUUCGAUGAUGAAGUCUCAAAAUCGACAUCAUUGACCUAAUGAUCAAAGAGUUUCAAAAUUUAUAAUUUUCGACAUCAUUGACCUAGCUAAUGAUCAACGGGUUUCUAAAAAUUAAAUUUCAAAUCUUUUCGACAUCAUUAGCCUAACGAUCAAAGGGUUUCAAAAUUUAUAAUUUUAAUGGUCGAUAUAAGACGUUUUCUCAUUUAAUGGUAUAAACAUAUCCAAAUCAAUUAAAUUUUGGUUAGAAAAUUCUUUAAACUAUUUAGAACAAGAUCAAUACUCUCGAUCUUGAUUACAAAAUUUAUAUCAUCACUUUUUAGAGGAUAUUCAUUUUCAGCCGUUUAUUUUUACGCCCACUUGAUGAACAAGAAAACAAUAUCGAAAAAGUAUGAAAUUUGAUUUCUAGAUACUUCAAGUGGUAUAGAUCAUUUUUAACGGUGCCGAUCGUUGAUUUUGAGACUUCAUCAUCGAAAACAAAUGGAUAGCAACGGAGCCCGUUUGCUACCGAUAGUAUUCUAACUCAACUCUAUAUAUAUCUCUCUCUCUCUAUAUAUAUAUAUAUAUAUAUAUAUAUAUAGUAGAGCUACUAUGCUAUCGGAAACAUAGAGGAUCUAGUGCUUCCGAUUUUUUUGCCCUUAGAUCAACCCCUUUGAUCAUUUAUAGCCUUUGAAUUAAUACUAUUAUCCUGUACUACCCAACCCUAGGAGUAUUACUCAACCUUGGGGGGACCGCAAUCAUCCCAACCGUAUAAUUUUUAAUCCAAUGGUCAAAAAGUUAGAAGUAUCAGAUCUUUUAUCCUUCCGAUAGUAUAGUAGCUCUACAGCUUGGUGCUAUUAGUAGUAUUCCAGCCUAAUUCUAUAUAUAUAUACAUACAAAGAAUUUUACUCUCACGUCAUUUUCGGCAAUAAAAAGAGUUUGAAUUCGUGAAACUUUUGAUGUUUCAAAUUUCACAAUUUUAAGAUAUUAUUUGCCUAAUAUUCAAGUAGUACUAUCAAAAAAUACAUUUUUUAACUGCUAAUGUAAGAUAAAUUUGAGACUAUUCGAUCACUAGGUAAAUAAUAUCUUAAAUUCAGAAAAUACGGAAUCUAAAAAGUUCAAAUAGCCUAGAUCAAAUUUGACGGUGUGAAUCAUCAAUUCCUAUGCAUUACUCACAGGCAAAAACAAUGUGGAAGGGAACUCUCUCAUUUACUUUAGAAGUA